AGGAGAGAGAGAGAGAGAGAGAGAGAGCAGGCCUCAUAAACCCUACAGGUAAUCCCCCUAUGACUCCAUUCUUUCAAACACAUCUCUCUCUCUCUCUCUGCUCCCUCAGUUGUUGAUUUUCUCUGUUCGUUCCUCAUCAACCGCCAAAUCUAAGCAAAUUUUGAGCUCUUCCUCCAUCUCCAAAUUGAGUUACCUCUCUCUCUCUCUCUCACGCACGCGCGCGCGCGCGCACACGGUCACUCGUAGCUGGAGUCUACAGCGGUUUUUGUGAUCCCAGCUGCCAGUGUUGAUGAAAAGCUUUAUGUUUAGGUAUUCACAUCCAAGCGAAUUGAUAAGGUCCAGGGAAGCUUUCCCAAAUUGAGAUGCUAAUACCGAUGUUAUUGGGAUUUAGAGGUGUUUGGUUUUGGGAGGCAUUGAAGAACAGUCUAUGCUCUAUAGUGACAUAUUGAACUUGGCCAUUUUGAAGGAGGAGCUUACAUUUCCAUUUUUACUUACAAGUUUUUGAAAAUAAGAGGUGGAGGACUGGAAUAUUUUGAAGAUUCUAAUAAAGUUUUGCAUUGUCUCACUGUCAAAUGUCAGAAGGUACUAUGGCAGUAGUUAAACCUGAGAUGAAGUCUUACAUCUGGCUCCAAACUGCCGAUGGUUCAAUUCAACAAGUAGAAGAAGAAGUUGCCAUGUUUUGCCCCAUGAUAUGCCGGGAAAUACUUCAAACAGGCAUGGGAUCGUCCAAAAAUUAUGCGAUAUCUCUUCCGCAACGAGUCAAUGCUGCCAUCUUGGGUUUAAUACUUGACUACUGUCGAUUUCAUCAAGUACCCGGUCGCUCGAAUAAGGAGCGUAAGUCUUUUGAUGAGAAGUUUGUUCGGAUGGAUACAAAAAGGUUAUUUGAGUUGACAUCUGCUGCUAACAGCCUCCAAUUGAAGCCUCUGGUUGAUCUUACCAGCCGUGCACUUGCUCGAAUUAUUGAAGGGAAAAGUCCUGAGGAAAUACGCGAGACCUUCCAUUUACCUGAUGACCUAACUGAGGAGGAGAAGUUGGAGCCUUUGAAAAAUUUUACUGAUGAUCCACGCAUCCGCCUUUUGAACCGAUUGUAUGCAAGAAAGAGAAAAGAAUUAAAAGAGAGGGAAAAAUUGAAGAAUGUUGAGGUUGAAGAGGAGCGUGUAGACAAUCGCUCAGUUGAUGAUCUCUUGUCAUUUAUAAAUGGGGGAGAUGGAGAUUCAAAGGGGGUUAGAGCUAAUAAAAAUAAAAAGAAGAACAGACGAAGAAAGGAUCAAGUGGAGGAGUCUUCAAGCAGUACUAAUGGAAACCAUAAGAAGGAUUUGGAUGUCCUCUCUGCUAGUGAUGAGCUUGAAAACCUCAGGGUGAUUAGUCCCAUUAAAUCCUCUAAGUUGCAGGAUUCUGAAGGCAUGGCCUUUUCACCUAAGCUUGAGUUUGAUGAUGGUGACAUUGAUGAUGAUGAUCUGGAUCCAGCACUGAGGGAAGAACUUGACAGAGAAGUGGAGGAUUUUGCUCGGAGACUUAAUUCGGUUUGGCCAGAACGUACGCAAAUUCUAUCAAUGGGCCAAGGAAGAAGGCUUGUACCAUUAUCUAUGAAUGGCAAUGGUUCCUUGCAUAGAUAUACAAGUUUGGACCAGAGAUAAUAAUCCAACAACAGUAUGACCGAUUUCUCGUGGUGGCCAGCCUGCUUCAGUGGUUUCAAGAACAUCAUGAACACAGGGUUUGGUGCUGUUGGACCUUUGAGAAGAUGCAGUGUUUUUUCAAAGACUGCAUCCAUUAUUGCUUUGGGGGAAUGUACAUGAAUUUGAGUUGUGGAAAGUGGAAACCCCAGAAGGUGAUUACAGUGGGUUGGGUUUGCUUCGCACAGUGAACUUGAGCUUUGAAUUGUGUAAAAUCAAACUCCCUCAUGCUUUGGAAUUGAACUCCACAAAGCUCCCCAAAUUGGGUUUCAUUUGAAAUAUUUUUGCUCUUUUAAAAAGAAAAAAAAAAAAAAAAACCCUGCUAUUUUUGUUUUUCAUUGAAGAAAUUAAAUAAUAUUCACCCUUUGGGGAGAGGCUGAGUUUGAAUUCA